GAGCAAAAAGGAGCAGGAGCAAGUGCGGUGGCUGAUACCUGUAAUCCCAGUACUUUGGAAAGCCGAGGCAGGAGGAUCAUUUAAGGUCAGAAGUUCAAGACCAGCCUGGCCAACAUGGUGAAAUCCCAUCUCUACUAAAAAUACAAAAUUUAGCCAAGUGGUGAGCCAAGAUUGUGCCACUACACUCCAGUCUGAGUGACACAGUAAGUCUCAAAAAAAAAAAAAAAAAAAAUCUCUGCUCCGUGUUUCUGCUUCAGUUUG
rnacentral:lncRNA from 13 species